UACGGGGGAGCAAGCGUUGUUCGGAUUUACUGGGCGUAAAGGGCGCGUAGGCGGCCAGUGCAAGUCAGUUGUGAAAUCUCCGAGCUUAACUCGGAAAGGUCAACUGAUACUGCUCGGCUAGAGUGCGGAAGGGGCAACUGGAAUUCUUGGUGUAGCGGUGAAAUGCGUAGAUAUCAAGAGGAACACCUGCGGCGAAGGCGGGUUGCUGGGCCGACACUGACGCUGAAGCGCGAAAGCUAGGGGAGCGAACGGG
rnacentral:rRNA from 1 species